UCCCUGGUAGUCCAGUGGCUAAGACUCUGUGCUUCCAAUGCAGGGUGCCUGGAUUCAAUCCCUGAUCAGGGAA
rnacentral:tRNA from 1 species